CACGACCACGGAGAGGGUGAUCUCCUUGUCAUGAGGGAUAUUUAUGUAAGUUUUGAAAUACGCACGCUUGUUCGAAUGCUCUUCUAACGCCCCGCCUCCCCCAUCCCGCUCCCGAUCUCGAGAAGUCCGCCAACGCCGCCCCGGGGCCGGCGACAGGGAAACGAUGACCGGCACGGCAGAUUCCUCAUGGCCUCGAGGAAGUGGAUCGCCACCUUUCGUAGGCCAAAACAAAUCUUGAAGAGUGCCGACUGCAGUCGGUGGUCAAUGUGGUGGGAAAGCGCUAACAUUCUUGACUCCAUGGAGAACCUAUUUUGACCUCUACUGAGAAGACAAAGGAUGUUAAGCAAAUUGUAAAAAUUGGUUCUAGAAAUCCAACAAGUUCAUGCAUAACCCUUUUGCAUAUGAUUAUACAAUUGAAUUUGUUGCUAAGGUUGUUUAUAUCAAAACUUGAGAAUAAAUGAAGAAUUGUUAUGGUUUUUAUAAUCAAGA